UGAUGAAAAAUCUCCGGAAUCUCUGUAUUUCUUUUGAUGAAAUAUUUGAACCCUUUUUCUGAUGACUGUUUUUUGAAUAAGC